UACGUAAGGGGCAAGCGUUAUCCGGAUUUACUGGGUGUAAAGGGAGCGUAGACGGUGAGGCAAGUCUGAUGUGAAAACCCGGGGCUCAACUCCGGGAUUGCAUUGGAAACUGUCUGACUUGAGUACUGGAGGGGUAAGCGGAAUUCCUAGUGUAGCGGUGAAAUGCGUAGAGAUUAGGAAGAACACCAGUGGCGAAGGCGAUUCUCUGGACUGUAACUGACGCUGAGGCUUGAAAGCGUGGGGAGCAAACAGGACUAGAUACCCUGGUAGUCCCU
rnacentral:rRNA from 1 species